rnacentral:rRNA from 1 species
GAUGAACGCUGGCGGCGUGCCCAAUACAUGCAAGUCGAGCGAACGGACGAGAAGCUUGCUUCUCUGAUGUUAGCGGCGGACGGGUGAGUAACACGUGGAUAACCUACCUAUAAGACUGGGAUAACUUCGGGAAACCGGAGCUAAUACCGGAUAAUAUUUUGAACCGCAUGGUUCAAAAGUGAAAGACGGUCUUGCUGUCACUUAUAGAUGGAUCCGCGCUGCAUUAGCUAGUUGGUAAGGUAACGGCUUACCAAGGCAACGAUGCAUAGCCGACCUGAGAGGGUGAUCGGCCACACUGGAACUGAGACACGGUCCAGACUCCUACGGGAGGCAGCAGUAGGGAAUCUUCCGCAAUGGGCGAAAGCCUGACGGAGCAACGCCGCGUGAGUGAUGAAGGUCUUCGGAUCGUAAAACUCUGUUAUUAGGGAAGAACAUAUGUGUAAGUAACUGUGCACAUCUUGACGGUACCUAAUCAGAAAGCCACGGCUAACUACGUGCCAGCAGCCGCGGUAAUACGUAGGUGGCAAGCGUUAUCCGGAAUUAUUGGGCGUAAAGCGCGCGUAGGCGGUUUUUUAAGUCUGAUGUGAAAGCCCACGGCUCAACCGUGGAGGGUCAUUGGAAACUGGAAAACUUGAGUGCAGAAGAGGAAAGUGGAAUUCCAUGUGUAGCGGUGAAAUGCGCAGAGAUAUGGAGGAACACCAGUGGCGAAGGCGACUUUCUGGUCUGUAACUGACGCUGAUGUGCGAAAGCGUGGGGAUCAAACAGGAUUAGAUACCCUGGUAGUCCACGCCGUAAACGAUGAGUGCUAAGUGUUAGGGGGUUUCCGCCCCUUAGUGCUGCAGCUAACGCAUUAAGCACUCCGCCUGGGGAGUACGACCGCAAGGUUGAAACUCAAAGGAAUUGACGGGGACCCGCACAAGCGGUGGAGCAUGUGGUUUAAUUCGAAGCAACGCGAAGAACCUUACCAAAUCUUGACAUCCUUUGACAACUCUAGAGAUAGAGCUUUCCCCUUCGGGGGACAAAGUGACAGGUGGUGCAUGGUUGUCGUCAGCUCGUGUCGUGAGAUGUUGGGUUAAGUCCCGCAACGAGCGCAACCCUUAAGCUUAGUUGCCAUCAUUAAGUUGGGCACUCUAAGUUGACUGCCGGUGACAAACCGGAGGAAGGUGGGGAUGACGUCAAAUCAUCAUGCCCCUUAUGAUUUGGGCUACACACGUGCUACAAUGGACAAUACAAAGGGCAGCGAAACCGCGAGGUCAAGCAAAUCCCAUAAAGUUGUUCUCAGUUCGGAUUGUAGUCUGCAACUCGACUACAUGAAGCUGGAAUCGCUAGUAAUCGUAGAUCAGCAUGCUACGGUGAAUACGUUCCCGGGUCU